rnacentral:rRNA from 1 species
GAGUUUGAUCCUGGCUCAGGAUGAACGCUAGCGGCAGGCUUAACACAUGCAAGUCGAGGGGUAGAGUUAGCUUGCUAACUUGAGACCGGCGCACGGGUGCGUAACGCGUAUGCAAUCUACCUUGUACAGGGGGAUAGCCCAGAGAAAUUUGGAUUAAUACCCCAUAGUGUAACGGAAGCAUCUUUUGUACUAAGUUCCAACGGUACAGAUGAGCAUGCGUCCCAUUAGCUAGUUGGUGUGGUAACGGCAUACCAAGGCAACGAUGGGUAGGGGUCCUGAGAGGGAGAUCCCCCACACUGGUACUGAGACACGGGACCAGACUCCUACGGGA